AAGUUCAUAUUGCUUACUUCUUAGCUUUUACUAGAAAUUAGGGUUUUUAAGAGUUGAGGAUUCUAGUUGUGGUUCAUAUACACAGAGGAAUAUUACUCAGCUAUAAAAAAGAAUGCAUUUGAGUCAGUUCUAAUGAGGUGGAAGGACCUAGAGCCUGCUAUUACACAGAGUGAAAUAAAUCAGACAGAUAUAUGUUAAUUAACACCUAUAUAUGGAAGCCAGAAAGGUGGUACUGAUGAACCUGUCUACAGGGCAGCAGUGGCGAUGCAGACACAGAACAGACUUUGGGGUGCAGUGGAGAGACAAGGUAGGACAAUUUGAGAAAGCAGCAUUGAAACAUAUACGUGACCAAAUAUAAAGUGGACAGCCAGUGUGAGUUUGCUAUAUGACACGGGAACUCAAGGCCAGGGCUCUGCGACAACCUCGAGGGUGGGAGGGGGAGGGGACAUAUGUAUCCCUAUGGCUGAUUGAUAUUGAUGCAUGGCAGAAACCAUCACAAUACUGUAAUUUACCCUCCAAUUAAAAUAAAAUGUUUUUUAAAUAGCUAUUGAAAAACUCUAAUCACUGACAGUUUACCAUGUUAGACACCUUAUGUGAUAUUUCUAGAUGGAAGUUACUAAUUUGAAUUACUCUAGAAAAAUAAUGCCUAUAGGCAUUUUUAGUUUAUACUAUGGUGAUAUAUCCAUUUUUAACUAGAAUCCCACAGUGCCUAAUAGUCAUGAAUAAAUUUAUAGAUUGUUUUUCAAAACAAAGUUGAGGAUUCUAAUUUAAACAUGCAAUUAAAACUACUAGGAAUACUAUAGAAACAUUUCAGUAUUCAGUAGGAAAUAGAAUGUGUUUUCAGUAAAGAAGGAUGAUGUAUGGAAUUAUAUUUUACUGAGGAAAAAGAAUAAGUUGGUUGGUUUUAUUUGGAAGAAAAAAUAUAAGGGACAGGCUGAUAUCAAUACAAAACCUGAAGAAAACUGUGGAAAAGAACCUGAGAGACAAGUUUCAUGCAUGGUUAGGAUUAAGAUUAACUGAAUUUUUAACUAAGUAAGUGGAUCUUGUUAAGUAAACUAAUGCAAGACUGGAAUCUGCCUUCUCUCUCUGUUGGAAGUGCUCCUCUUUGGUGACAGAUGGUGUGAGUGUCUGUACCUUGCAGGAGUGAUAAAAGAUUCAGGGUCUAUCCCUGUGGGGAGAUCCCCUGAAGGAGGGCGUGGCAACCCACUCCAGUAUUCUUGCCUGGAGAAUGAUCCCAUGGACAGAGGAGCCUGGCAGGCUACAGUCCAUGGGGUCACAAAGAGUCAGACACAACUGAAGCAACUCUGUGUACACACACAAGUGAUCCAUAUUUUUCUUGUUGUAUAACUUUGGUUAAAUGAAAAUAUUGUUUAACAGUAACCUGUGAUCCUGUUGCAUUUUAAACCUCUUUGAUAUUUUUAUCAAACUCUUAACUAAAGUUCUUUUAGCUUCCAGUUGACUCUCGGAUACGUCAAAGGAACAUCUCUGAAAGAUCUUAGAGAGGAAUAUUAAACUAAAUUUCUUUGUGUGAUUCUAGGUGUGGGAAUAGGCAGCAAGGAAGAACAUUUCCUGGAUGCUGAUAAGACAGAGGGUCCAGAGAACCUUUCAUCAUCAACAGGGCCUAAUCUGGAACUUUGCACCUGGAGUGGCAUGCCAGCAGAAACUUCUGCCUGAUCUGGGAUGAGCCUCCCUGUGCCCAGGGAUAAUAAUUGGUCAUGAAAUGUCUCCCGAUAUUGGUCAAAUUCUGGUUCAAGAGAAGGAUCUAAGAGAAUAUUUCCGGCCAUAUCAGUAAACAAGGAUGUCACAGUCAUCAGCGACUCCAGCCCUGCAACAUGAGCCUGAGACACUCAGGAAAGACAAGAAGACCUGCCAUCUAGCAGCCGGCCAUCAGCCACUCCCUGCGGUGAGCCCUGGCCCCAGAUAGGAGAGGUACACAUCAAAGGAAUGAUUUCCGUGAGCCCCGAACUUCUUGCAUCUUCCCAUACAGAGCAAAGAGCUAAAUUCCUGAUCUCGAGAUAUCUGGUUUUCUUAAAUUAACAAACAUCUUGUUCUGACUACUUGUCCUUUGUUGAAAAAUUCUAUAUGAUAUAGCUCCCCCUCAUCGCCUCUCAGGGUUACUUUAGAUGCUGUCUCCUGGGCUUGAAAUCCUAAAAAUUCCCGCCAAAUAAAACAUAACUCUCAACUUUAAGGUUGUGAAUAUUUUUUUUAAGUCCACACUGUAGUUGAAUAAUAAUUUUUCUUAAACCUACUUUUUUGAAUUUUUAAAGUAAAUCUCCUGGUGUUCCACGCUGUGGAAACCUGACCCUUCCCUUCCUCACCUGAACAAACAUCCCCAGAACAUCCUUUUAUCCCUCACAGCAGGGACACUGGAACGUAAAAGUUUCCACCCACUUAAAGGCUUAGAUGUUCAUUUCUUAGUGACUGAAUUAUUAACAGAGUACAAGGCACAUUUUCAGGGCUUUAGAUGCCUUUCAUCAGAGCUCACAACAAGCCCAUUUAUGAAGAAGAACCACAGGCAAGGAGAGGUUAAGAAACCUUCCCCCAGACCCACACGCAGACCUACCUUUGAUUGGCCACCUCUGUAAUGAAAACCUAGGAGCAGGAAAGUCAGCUAUGCCAGCUCAGCACCCGGGGUCGGUCUGAGUAAUCAGAAGCCCUUUAGGAUUUGGCAGCUAACUUGGGGAAACUCUUGACUCUAAAACAUAACACCAUAAAGAUGAACACUGGACAGUCAUUUCAUUUGAACUUGAAAAAUUUUGUUAUUUACCUUGAAGCGGGUUUCUUUUUUGAUGGUGAAGGGAGGGGAGAUUUUCGUUUGCAGUCAUCACUAGACGUUUACUUAGGUCCCACGGGUGGUUUAUGCAUUCCUUGUGUAAGCCACAGCCAAGGACAUUCAGCCCUUUGUUGAAAAUGAUACUCCAGGGAAGUGGCUUUUCCUCACUAUAUACACAUACAUUAAUAGUAAUGUAUUCACUGUGCUGCCACAAAGCAAGAAUUCCCAUGUUCAUAUCUUACCUACAGCAGUGAGGCUGCAGGGAAAACUGUAUACACAGAUGUUGCUGAAAUUUUCGGAAGGGUUCAGGGCCUCACAGAGGUGAAGUGGAAGGUUUUCACCAUAGAGAUGGCUGAUGGGUUUUUAAAGAGAAGAGAGGCAAUAAACAUUCAUUCCCUCAUUCGCUCUGUCCCCUAAACUCAAAGAGUUUGAAAUUGCUGUUUUCGUAACAGCAUUGUUUACAAGUAGCAAGGACGCGAAACAACCUAAAUGUCCAUCAACAGAGGAAUGGAGAAAGAUGUGGUGCGCACAAACAAGGGCAGAUGACGCAGCCGUGACAAUGAACAAAUGCCAUUUGCAGCAACGUGGAUGAACCGAAAGACAGAUACAUACUAUCACUUAUAUGUGGAGUCUUUUUUUUUUAAGGGAUAUACAUGAACUUACAAAACAGAAGUAAAGUCAUGGAUAUAGAAAACAAACUUACGGUUACCAGGGGGUAAGUGCAGGAGGGAUGAACUGGGAGGCUGGGACUGACGUAUAUACCAAGUGACGUCGCUCAGUCGUGUCUGACUCUUUGUGACCCCAUGGACUGUAGCCUGCCAUGCUCCUCGGAGAUCCAUGGGAUUUUCCAGGCAAGAGUACUGGAGUGGGGUGCCAUUUCCUUCUCCAGAGGAUCUUCCCAACCCAGGGAUCGAACCCAGGUCUCCUGCAUUGUAGGCAGACGCUUUACCAUCUGAGCCACAAGGGAAGUCCUGACAUAUACACACUACCAUACAAAAAACAGGUAAUCUACUGUAGAGCACGGGGAACUCUACUCAAUUCUCUGUAAUGACCUAUCUGGGAAAAGAAUCCAAAGAGUGAAUAUAUGUAUAACUGAUGUGCUUUGCUGUACAGCAGAAACCUACUGUAAAUCAACUAUACUCCAAUAAAGAUUAUUUUUUUAAAAAAGGCAUAGCAGAAAAGAGUUUUGGUAGAAAAAUGGAUCAAAAUAAGUAAGAAAGCCUAAUUCUCUCCAGCUUCUGGUAUACUGGGGCACUCUGGGGGACCAGGAGCAUUGCUUCUGAUUUCUAAUGGGUAACACAGAGUCCAGAAGCAAGGAGAGCUAAGGAAGGUGAAAGCUGGGAGCUGCUUCAGGUCUGGGAUGCUCUGCCAUCUUAGCAGAGCAGCUGGGCACCUCCUAGCAGCCCAUCAGUCACUUCGCAGGUGAGUGAAAUCGGGGGUUGGGGUGGACACUGAGAGGAGCAGAGGGGCUGCUGUCACGGCUUUGAGGGGGCACCUGUGACUGUGGAAAUACCUCCACCUGGCCUUGUCUCAUUGCAACUCCAGUUUCCAAUUGACGAAGCAGAGGCCCAGACAGGUCAAGUAACCUGGCUUAGGCCACACAGCAUGGAGCUCAGUUUCCAGAGCCACAGGCCUCUAUGCUCCAGAACCAACACAGUGACCCCACUCCCCUGCUGCUAUUGACUGCAUCCUGGGCUUUGGAUGGUGUCAUCUCACUGAGGCUCGGAGCCUCUCUGGGAAGGGAAGCAGUGUCGUCCUCCCCAUCUCUCAGGUGAGGGACCGGCUCAGAAAGGCUGAGACACUUGCUCAAGGCCUCACAGCUGGUGAGAGGGUGUCAGGCCCCCAAAUGUCUGCUGCCAUCCCUGCUGAGGGGCUUCAUCCUUCCUUCCUGGGCAGCGCCCCGCCCCACACACACCUGCUAGCAGCCUACCGCUAUGUGACCGAGUGCCUUCAAGACUUCUUACCUGUCUUCUGCUUGAAACUCUGGAGCUCGGGCAGAGAAAGCACUGGAAAUGAGGGGGGAAAGCCAUGCCCUCCUGGAGUGAACCUCCAAGGCUGUUCCCUUGAGGCCUGACUUAAGUGGAGGAAGAGGGGUAUGUGGGUGUGUGACUUUACAACUGUGAAAUGCAAUCCAUUCACUUUUUUUUUUUUUUUACCAUUUCUUUUUGUACAGUGCUUCCAGGAAUGCCCCUCAGUGUUUAGAGCCACAGAACAAAACAGGAGGGAAAAAGAACACUGUUGCAGGACCAAAUCACUCAAGAAUCAAAAGGAGCAGACACAUGACAGGCUGCGGAAGCCCCCUAGCAUUCUGCCCCUAGAGACAACCACUUCUUUAGAAGUAAUUUGAAUAUUUUCUUAUGGUUACAAAAGCCACACACAUUAAAAGAUGCAGCAAAAUGAAAGUAGACGCUUCCCUGUCCAGCUUCCUUGGUGGGCACAGGGGCCGAGACCACAGCCACUGGUGCAGCUCACUACCUGGAAGGUUGCCAGCCCCCACCCUUGACCCUCUUGCUGUCUGACUCCAUGAACUGAAGAGGCAAAGGCUGACCUGCAGUCCUUUUGAAACACCAGUCAGGUCACAGGGCUCUGGCCUCCACCGCCCGUGGCCACGUGGGAUCCACCCCUCGUCUGCUGUUCCAGACUGUCUCCCCCUAAGGCCUGCACAUGCCUUCCCCUCGGGUGUCACCACGGCCCUCCUCCCCCCAGUGACAGCCCCCUGACCGUCCAGUGGACCGCAUGCUGCCACCUGCAGCGCACCCCUCCCUCCCAUCUCUGGACUGUGCCCUGUCUUGUCAUCGCACACAGCACAAAUCACCUUUAGACUUACGUGAUUUACCUGUGAUCUGAUCUUCCUCCAGACCCAAGGGCUGGCGUAACUGACUCCUGUGAUCACUGAUGUAUCCAUCAGCACUUGGCAUACAGUCGGGGUCAAUACAUGUUUGUUGAAAGAGAGACCAUGGACCCUAUCUUUGUAAACAGACCCUUUUCAGCCCAGCUUCGCCAGCCCUUCCUGCAUGUGUAUGGUUACGGGGGGUAGCCUCCUCUAAGGUGUGUUCACAUCACUCAAGCUCUGGGAAGCUGAAAGCUCAGAUAUGGACAGGAAAGCCCACAGGUGAGGGCUCUUGUCCCAGAGAAGAAGGCCUUCCCUGGGGCACUGUAACCAGAGGCCCUCAGAAACAAG
ensembl:lncRNA